rfam:Verruconis gallopava strain CBS 43764 unplaced genomic scaffold supercont1.3, whole genome shotgun sequence.
GGAAGAAUUCGACCGGACACAACAAUCUGCAGCAUUGUUGUGCAAGACCUGCAGUGUCAGUCGGUUUAUUCC